rnacentral:rRNA from 1 species
AUUGAACGCUGGCGGCAGGCCUAACACAUGCAAGUCGAGCGGAUGAAGGGAGCUUGCUCCUGGAUUCAGCGGCGGACGGGUGAGUAAUGCCUGGGAAUCUGCCUGGUAGUGGGGGAUAACGUCCGGAAACGGGCGCUAAUACCGCAUACGUCCUGAGGGAGAAAGUGGGGGAUCUUCGGACCUCACGCUAUCAGAUGAGCCUAGGUCGGAUUAGCUAGUUGGUGGGGUAAAGGCCUACCAAGGCGACGAUCCGUAACUGGUCUGAGAGGAUGAUCAGUCACACUGGAACUGAGACACGGUCCAGACUCCUACGGGAGGCAGCAGUGGGAAUAUUGGACAAUGGGCGAAAGCCUGAUCCAGCCAUGCCGCGUGUGUGAAGAAGGUCUUCGGAUUGUAAAGCACUUUAAGUUGGGAGGAAGGGCAGUAAGUUAAUACCUUGCUGUUUUGACGUUACCAACAGAAUAAGCACCGGCUAACUUCGUG